GGUUCUAUUGUGUAGUGGUUAUCACAUUUGCUUUACACCUUUCGGUGCGCGCAAAAGGUCGCCGGUUCGAUCCCGGCUGGAAUCA